CCUACGGGGGGCAGCAGUGAGGAAUAUUGGUCAAUGGACGAGAGUCUGAACCAGCCAAGUAGCGUGAAGGAUGACUGCCCUAUGGGUUGUAAACUUCUUUUAUAUGGGAAUAAAAUGUUCCACGUGUGGGAUUUUGUAUGUACCAUAUGAAUAAGGAUCGGCUAACUCCGUGCCAGCAGCCGCGGUAAGACGGAGGAUCCGAGCGUUAUCCGGAUUUAUUGGGUUUAAAGGGAGCGUAGGUGGAUUGUUAAGUCAGUUGUGAAAGUUUGCGGCUCAACCGUAAAAUUGCAGUUGAAACUGGCAGUCUUGAGUACAGUAGAGGUGGGCGGAAUUCGUGGUGUAGCGGUGAAAUGCUUAGAUAUCACGAAGAACUCCGAUUGCGAAGGCAGUUCACUGGACUGCAACUGACACUGAGGCUCGAAAGUGUGGGUAUCAAACAGGAUUAGAUACCCCUGUAGUC
rnacentral:rRNA from 1 species